GUGUGACAAGCUACAAAGGGCACAUGGUGGAUGCCUUGGCAUCAAGAGCCGAUGAAGGACGUACGAGCCUGCGAUAAGCCCUGGGGAGUUGGCAACGGAGCGUUGAUCCGGGGGUGUCCGAAUGGGGGAACCCAGCACCAGUCAUGUGGUGUUACCUGCGCCUGAAUGUAUAGGGCGUGUGGAGGGAACGUCGGGAAGUGAAACAUCUCAGUACCGACAGGAAGAGAAAACAAGAGUGAUUCCGAGAGUAGUGGCGAGCGAAAUCGGAUGAGGCUAAACCGUCUGUGUGUGAUACCCGGCAGGGGUUGCGCAGGCGGGGUUGUGGGAGCUUUCGAACACUUCUGCCGGGGUGUUGCGGAGUAAGAAACUGACAGUGAGGUUGAACCGGUUGGAGAGCCGGGCCGUAGAGGGUGAUAGUCCCGUAGGCGUAAGCUGUCAGCUCCGGAGAGAUUUCCCAAGUAACACGCUACUCCUGGAAUGGCGUGUGAAUCUGGCAGGACCACCUGCUAAGCCUAAAUACUCCUUGAUGACCGAUAGCGGACAAGUACCGUGAGGGAAAGGUGAAAAGUACCCCUGGCGGGGAGUGAAAUAGUACCUGAAACCGUGUGCCUACAAUCCGUCAGAGCCCGGCUGCCCUCAUCCUUGUGGUGGGUGGUGUUGGGGUGAUGGCGUGCCUUUUGAAGAAUGAGCCUGCGAGUUAGCGGUGUGUGGCGAGGUUAACCCGUGUGGGGUAGCCGUAGCGAAAGCGAAUCCGAAUAGGGUGUUUUAGUCGCACGCUCUAGACCCGAAGCGGAGUGAUCUAUCCAUGGGCAGGUUGAAGCGACGGUAAGACGUCGUGGAGGACCGAACCCACUUCAGUUGAAAAUGGAGGGGAUGACCUGUGGAUAGGGGUGAAAGGCCAAUCAAACUCCGUGAUAGCUGGUUCUCCCCGAAAUGCAUUUAGGUGCAGCGUUGCGUGUUUCUUGCCUCAGGUAGAGCACUGGAUAGCCGAUGGGCCCGACCAGGUUACUGACGUUAGCCAAACUCCGAAUGGGGGUAAGUGAGAGCGCAGCAGUGAGACUGCGGGGGAUAAGCUCCGUAGUCGAGAGGGAAACAGCCCAGACCAUCAGCUAAGGCCCCUAAGCGGUGACUAAGUGGAAAAGGAUGUGGAGUCGCAG
rnacentral:rRNA from 1 species